rnacentral:rRNA from 1 species
AGCCUUUUGUAUUUUUAUAAUAGGUAAUUUCUGCCCGGUGAAAAAUUUAACGGCCGCGGUACCCUGACCGUGCAAAGGUAGCAUAAUCACUUGCCUUUUAAUUGGGGGCUAGUAUGAAUGGAAAAACAAAUACACGACUGUCUCCUUGUUUGAGAUUGGAAUUUUUUGUUUGUGUGAAGAAACACAAAAACUGUAGAGGGACAAGAAGACCCUGUCGAGCUUUACUAAUAGCAACCUUAUUUUUGAAUAUUGACUAAAAAAAGUUAGUGAGCAGUUAGUUUGGUUGGGGUGACCAGAAAAGAUCGGAUCUUUUCUUAAUAAAAGAUAGAUAUGUCUAAAAUUGAUCCAGCGUGAUUAUUAAAGAAUAAGUUACCGCAGGGAUAACAGCGUAAUUUCUUUAAAGAGCUCUUAUCGAAAAAGAAGUUUGCGACCUCGAUGUUGACUUAUUAUUUCCUGUUAGAAAGCGCAGCUGUUGAAAGGGUUGGUCUGUUCGACCAUUAAAAUAAU